GGUGCUUAGAUAGGGAAAGAGGUUGAGGGACUCAAUGUUACCUAGCAAAGGGCUGGAAGCGGAAAGAUUGGUGGGCACAGAGACUCUAAAGAUGGAGAGGACCUCAGUUCUCAUUUGCUACUGCUUACGUAUUCUGACCGAUUGUUCCUGGAAUUUCUUCUCUCCCCUUCUUAAGAUUUUUUUUUUUUUUUGAAAGGCAGAGCUACAGAGAAC